GUGAGAUUUGUAACAUAUUAUACCAAAAACGUUAUCUUAGCCUUGGAUCUAAUAUAGAAAUGGCAGCUUCAUCUAUGUUUGUAAACGUCCAGAAAAUAUAACGCCGGCGGCGAUGGUGGGCUGCUGAUGUUUUUCCGGUGAGUCGAGUGACUGGCGGAGGCGGCUGGUUUGUGUAUAGGUGAUGGGUCUGGAGAAGAUGGCUGGCUUCUCUCUUGUUAAUGGCUGCUGAAGAAGAUGAAGGACAUGGGAGGGGUCCGUGUAUUAUGGUCAACAACGGCGGAUGUCUCUUAUCUUCUUUUUUUGCGUAUUUUUUUUUUAAGCAUUACUUUAUAUAUAGAGUCUAGGUUUAGGUGUAUUUUUGUGUAUUUUGUCAAUUAGUCCCUAGGUCUUUUGUGUUAAGUCCUUAGAGUCUUUUUUAUUUGUUUUUAUUCCAAAGAAGAGUCUAGAAGGGUCCUUAGGCUUAAUAGACUAAUCUGAAUUGGGCCAAGAAUUGGGCUCUAAAACUCUUAAAAUUGUGAUC